rnacentral:rRNA from 1 species
CAGUGGGGAAUAUUGCACAAUGGGCGCAAGCCUGAUGCAGCCAUGCNGCGUGUAUGAAGAAGGCCUUCGGGUUGUAAAGUACUUUCAGCGGGGAGGAAGGGAGUAAAGUUAAUACCUUUGCUCAUUGACGUUACCCGCAGAAGAAGCACCGGCUAACUCCGUG